rnacentral:rRNA from 1 species
UGAGGAAUAUUGGGCAAUGCCCGAAAGGGUGACCCAGCAACGCCGGGUGGAGGAUGAAGGUCGUAAGAUUGUAAACUCCUGUUAGAGGGGAAGAAUAACUAAGUUUGGAGCUUAGUAUGACUGUACCCUCAGAGAAAGCCCCGGCUAACUACGUGCCAGCAGCCGCGGUAAUACGUAGGGGGCAAGCGUUGUCCGGAUUUACUGGGUGUAAAGGGCGCGCAGGCGGAAUGGAAAGUCAGUGGUGAAAUCCUACAGCUUAACUGUAGAACUGCCUUUGAUACUGUCAUUCUUGAGUUCGGGAGAGAGAGACGGAAUUCCAGGUGUAGUGGUGAAAUACGUAGAUAUCUGGAAGAACACCAGUUGCGAAGGCGGUCUCUUGGUCCGAUACUGACGCUGAGGCGCGAAGGCGUGGGGAGCAAACA